rnacentral:rRNA from 1 species
ACGAACGCUGGCGGCGUGCCUAAUACAUGCAAGUCGAACGGUCUUUCUAUGGAAGCUUGCUUCCACUGAGAAGAUAGUGGCGAACGGGUGAGUAACACGUGGGUAACCUGCCCAUAAGAGGGGGGAUAACAUCCGGAAACGGGUGCUAAUACCGCAUAGUUUUCUUGAUCGCAUGAUUGAGAAAGGAAAGACGGCCUUUGUGCUGUCGCUUAUGGAUGGACCCGCGGCGUAUUAGUUAGUUGGUGAGGUAACGGCUCACCAAGACGAUGAUACGUAGCCGACCUGAGAGGGUGAUCGGCCACAUUGGGACUGAGACACGGCCCAAACUCCUGCGGGAGGCAGCAGUAGGGGAUCUUCCGCAAUGGACGAAAGUCUGACGGAGCAACGCCGCGUGAGUGAAGAAAGGUUUUCGGAUCGUAAAACUCUGUUGUCAGAGAAGAACAAGUUGGAGAGUAACUGCUCCAGCCUUGACGGUAUCUGACCAGAAAGCCACGGCUAACUACGUGCCAGCCGCCGC